rnacentral:tRNA from 1 species
GGCGAGAUGGCCGAGCGGUCUAAGGCGCCAGACUAAGGAUCAGUCAGUUUCUACUGACGCAUCUGUGGGACUCCAUCUCACAUCUGGUCUUUCGGGGCGUGGGUUCGAAUCCCACUCUCGUCA